rnacentral:rRNA from 1 species
AGCAGCCGCGGUAAUUCCAGCUCCAAUAGCGUAUAUUAAAGUUGUUGCAGUUAAAAAAGCUCGUAGUUGAAUUUCGGGGUUAGUAAGUUGGUCGUGCCUAUGGUAUGUACUGACUUUACUGAUUCCUCCCUCUUGACGAACUGUAAUGUCAUUAAUUUGGUGUUGCAGGGAAUCAGGACUGUUACUUUGAAAAAAUUAGAGUGUUUAAAGCAGGCUUACGCUUGAAUACAUUAGCAUGGAAUAAUGAAAUAGGACGUUGAUCUUAUUUUGUUGGUUUCUAGGAUUGACGUAAUGAUUAAUAGGGAUAGUUGGGGGCAUUAGUAUUCAAUUGUCAGAGGUGAAAUUCUUGGAUUUAUUGAAGACUAACUACUGCGAAAGCAUUUGCCAAGGAUGUUUUCAUUAAUCAAGAACGAAAGUUAGGGGAUCGAAGACGAUCAGAUACCGUCGUAG